GGGAGAAGAGAAGAAGGAAUGUGGUGGCACAGCAGGAUAACCCCUAGCACUGGUUGUCCACAAUUACAUUGUAUCUAAUAGUUGGUGUUGCUGAAUCAAAAAAGGGCAAUGAUCGAUUUCUCUUCCAUACGACGGUGAUCAGGUAUUGCUUCAGUCAGCAGGGCAACAGUCCUUGACUCUGCUGGUGUCUGCCCUACUGUCUUUCUCCACUCUGAGCUUUGUUCCCUCUUACACGUAAUGAUAAAAAGGGGUAAAACUAU
rnacentral:lncRNA from 1 species